rnacentral:lncRNA from 1 species
GCAUGAAUUAUGUUGCAUAAUUGAAAUUGAUUUCGAAUUGAUGAACUCUAUAUGCUUAUUUUUCUAUAAAUGAUUAUUUACUUAAAUGCCUGAUUAAAUCUGUUGAGAAGUGAUCAUUGCUUACUGGGUUGUCUAGCUCAUUACCUCCUAUUUUACUAUUUUUACAGAUGUUGAAGAAUUAAGAUGAUACAAGAUAUGAAUGAAAGAGUGAUCAGAAGCAGAAUCUUCAUACUUUUAUUUUAGGUUGAAAGGCUUAUUGAAUUUGAUGCAAAGCCUUUGAAUCGUUGUUUAAUUUAAGAAAAAAUUUAGGUCGUUAUAUUUUAGAUUUAAAUUGUUGACUAAUUAUUCCGCUGUUGUUUUAGGAUAGUAUGAUAAGAUGCCUUGCAUGCUUAUGGGAAGAAUUUUCUAUGAGUAUGCGAUGGUUGCCAUGACCCUCGAUUCAAAAUCUCGGAUCGGGGGCGUGACAGUGUGACUGUCAAAUGCAUCAUACUUGCCUCGAUGAGCAAUGAGCUUCAGAGGCAGCAUAAGGACAUGGAUAUUCCUUCUAUACUCCUUAAUCUUAAAGAGUUAUAUGGAGAAUAAAGUUGAACUGUUAGAUAUGAGAUAUCUAAGCAGUUGUUCCAUGUCUGCAUGACUGAAGG